CCUACGGGGUGCAGCAGUGGGGAAUAUUGGACAAUGGGCGAAAGCCUGAUCCAGCAAUGCCGCGUGUGGGAAGAAGGUCUUCGGAUGGUAAAGCACUUUCGACGGGGACGAUGAUGACGGUACCCGUAGAAGAAGCCCCGGCGAACUUCGUGCCAGAAGCCGCGGUAAUACGAAGGGGGCUAGCGCUGCUCGGAAUGACUGGGCGUAAAGGGCGCGUAGGCGGUUUAUACAGUCAGAUGUGAAAUCCCCGGGCUUAACCUGGGAACUGCAUUUGAGACGCAUAGACUAGAGGUCGAGAGAGGGUUGUGGAAUUCCCAGUGUAGAGGUAAAAUUCGUAGAUAUUGGGAAGAACACCGGUGGCGAAGGCGGCAACCUGGCUCGAUACUGACGCUGAGGCGCGAAAGCGUGGGGAGCAAACAGGAUUAGAUACCCGUGUAGUC
rnacentral:rRNA from 1 species